AGCCAGGGCCACAGAGAUCAGGCCAUGCUGGAUUGGUUCAGGAAAAUGAAUUCUAUGACGCUGCUGUAAAACCACCUCUGAUUGGGCCGAUCCAAAGGAAUUGAUAACAAGUGUGAGAGGGUCUGAACCAGAAAAGUUGCCUCAUUCUACAGAAAGACUUCAAAGGGUUAAACCAGAAAAGCUGCCUCAUUUACAAAAAGUCUGCAAAGGUAAAAAUUUUCUCUUUUUUUUUUUAUUUUACCCUGAGCUUUAUUGUAUUUUUCUUAGCC